rnacentral:rRNA from 1 species
UGGGGAAUAUUGGGCAAUGGGCGAAAGCCUGACCCAGCGACGCCGCGUGAGGGAAGAAGGUCUUCGGAUUGUAAACCCCUUUCAGCAGGGAAGAAGAAAGUGACGGUACCUGCAGAAGAAGUCACGGCUAACUACGUGCCAGCAGCCGCGGUAAUACGUAGGUGGCGAGCGUUAUCCGGAAUUACUGGGUGUAAAGGGUGUGUAGGCGGGUGUCAAGUCAGAUGUGAAAGCUGUGGGCUUAACCCACAAACUGCAUUUGAAACUGAUACUCUUGAGAGUGGGAGAGGUAAACGGAAUUCCUGGUGUAGUAGUGAAAUGCGUAGAUAUCAGGAGGAACACCGGUGGCGAAGGCGGUUUACUGGACCACAACUGACGCUGAGACACGAAAGCGUGGGGAGCAAACAGGAUUAGAUACCCUGGUAGU